UUUGCGACCGAAUCCAAGCCUGA
rnacentral:miRNA from 1 species